CCGACGCGCCGCGCACCGCAGCCGCGCCCGCACCCAUUUCCCAUCGAUGCGCCAAACGGGGGCGAUGAUGGACGGCGCCGCCCAGCUCCUGUCCGACGGAGUCGCCGGGUUCCUGCUCUCGGGGCCAACCCCUCCCCUGUGUCGGCUCGUGCAUCGGCUUGGAGGCCCCUCGGGGCUGCCGCCGGUGCGGGAGUCCUGCGCGGCCGUGAGGGCUGGGGACCAAGCGGCGGGGCCCGUGGUGCGUUCCUGUUGAGGGCUUGCUGGGGUUGGCCGGGAUCUGAGCCGCCGUCGAUGGAUUUCUCGCAGGUUGGCUACAUGUUGCUUCGGAUUUGAUCGUUGUACCAUCGUCCCGGUCGCCGCCGCGUCAGUUCCACACCGCUACAGCACAGCCUACCACCGCCACUCCAUUGGCUUGGAUUUGCUUGCGGCAUGGGCUGGGAACUGUACGGUGUUGUCUGAUGCAUGUUCCGCACUGGGAGGUUUGGUCGGCUGACGCUAGGUAUGAGCAGCUCUUGAGCCUGAUUGCUGGAUGUGCGCACGCAUGCAUGUAUACUUCUCACUUGCACUGCUUAUACAACACAUUGCAUGUACACCACGGCCGUGGACAGGCGAACGUGCUCCUACUCCUCACAAGGCACCCACAGUCUAUUAGCAAGCCAAUCCAAAACUUCAGCAUGCAUUUUUUUGAAAGGACAACUAAGUAUCUUUGUUAGUAACAUCUUUGUCAGAAAUUAGAAAAAACGGCAGUGCAUUAGUUGAGCUAAUCACCUAGCUUCAUCUCUUGGAUUAUGCAUUGAUAGUAUGGCACAUGUUGUAUCGUUAUAAGCAAUUUUUGUUAGGAGGUAAGAUUUUAGUGUCGUCGUUCAGUUUUUGUUACAUACAAAAUGAAUAUGAUUAGUUAAUUCUGUUUUCUUUUAAGAGGUAUUUCUCUCACGAGCCUUUGUGUUAUCCAUGUGAAUUCCACUAGAUUUAUCAUCCGUGUACCUAAAUUGUGCAUAUUAUCAAAUUUCUGGAAAAAAAAAGUUGAGCGCUUAUUGUGGCCAUCAUCUGCAUAGCACCACAGCUAGAGCUAAAAUCAAGUAACCUUCAUGGAUUUUGUUGACAAGAAAGACAACGAACUUAAUUUAACGGCUUGAAGUCAAUUGCACAUGUCUCAUACUGCAUUGAACCUUGGCCGAAGCACUCGACCACGACAAGCAGCAGCUCGGGAAGCCUUUGCAAUUCAUGUAUUUACAACAUCUACAGUUCAUGUAUUUACUGUCAUGCAUUGCACCUUCAUGGUUUUUGUUGUACUUCUGCAUUUGCAGCAUUUACAGCUUAAUGCAAUCAGGAAUUGGUUAUAGAUUUCAUGUGAUUUAAUUUCUAAAUGUUAACUACAGUGACAACUUAUGACUUACAUAGGUUUUAUUUCCAUUGAGAGAGAGCGGGCAAUGGAUCGUGAGGUGGAAUGAAAUUAUAAGCAAAUUGAUCUGACCAUCUCUUGUUGUCAGGGAAUCUGUGUGAUCUGUUCUACUUUGACUUGGAGUGUACAACUAUGAUAUUGUACGUGAUGAUUUUUUUUUUUGAUUCUGCUACUAGAGGUCAGUCAGAGGUGGUAAUUAUUAGUGGCAAAAAAGAGGCGGUAAUUAUUACACUCUUUAUUUGCAAAAAAUGUGACUGAAACAAUGCUAAUUGCAUAUGUUUUGUACUUGUAGGAAGGCUAUGAAAGAAGUGUUCUUCCCUUAUUUUUAUGAAGGUAAGGUCUUGUUCUUGGAUUCCUGCUGCUCUAGAUUGCUUGGCAGCUCUAAUUUAUCACUUCAUGACCUUAUGCUCCACCAUUAUCUUUGAACACUUGAUACUUAUUUACUUUUAUUUGUUGGCUUCUUUUUUAUAGUCAUCUGAUUUAAAAAUGCUAGCAUGUGCCACUUUAGUAUCUUUCAGUUUCAGCAAACAUAUUGGAUUAUCUUGACAUAUGUUGGCAUUGACAAGAUAAUAUAGAUUGUCACUAUUAAUUUCAAUGUUCACGCUCCAUCCUAUUUAAAUUCGUAUUUGGAUGGAAGUCAACACACUAAGAACUGUAUGCUUAAUGAAUGAUGUUCACAGCAAUUACUCGAAUUUCUUGCAUUCACUUGUGCAGACCGAUGGUUAAUUGUGAACUAUGUAUAUUCUGUAGGUUCUUCUUAGUGAGAUCAAACAAAGCACAAUCGUAUUUUCUCGAAUUAUACACAUGCUAUGAUUUUCAUGCUCUCUGUAGUAAUUAUGUUGAAUUCUCAUAAUUCCUUUUUCAUUAUUAUGCCAAACAAUUUGUAUGCUAAAAACAUACUUCAUAAUCCCAUCUCCCCGCGUCGUCCCGAUUUGUUCCAGCUGGGCACUGCCUCGGCUGCAAAGCGUGUGUUAUCCCAUGAAGCAGGCCCUCCUUUGCAAGGCUGACGACGAUAGCUUCAACUUCGCCGCCUAUUCUGGUCGAUGAUGUCAUUGAUCAGUUCAUCCAGUUCAACUUCGCCACAUGCAUACCAGGAAGUUUUCACUGCUCAGUUCAUCCAGUUGAAUCCUUCUAUUGUAAUUCUAUUCCCUACCUUUUCUUACUCGUAGGAAAUUCAAGUGUGGUACACAUGUGAGUAUCUUCUCCUUCCCUCUGUUGUAUGCAUGUGGUCAUUUGUUAUCCCGAUUAAGAAUCAAGAUCCACUACAUUCUUGAAUAUUGAAGACUGUUUUAGUUGGUCCAGAUUAAACUUGAUAAAUACAAUUUCCUUGUUGGUUCCAUCUGAGUUGUAUAAUUGAUUUGGGCAGUUUUCAGUAAUCUUAAGCUGUCUUCAGAUUUUAGCUUCCUCAAUCAUUCUGAAUUAUUUAACCUCAGUAUGAGGUACAUGUGUUCCAAAGAUUAAUCCUGAGAAAUUUGUAGUUGACCAGUUGGGUCUGUUUGAUUUGUUUAGUAGACUGCAACGGCAGUCACAAUUGUUCAGAUCUAUUCUAAAGCUGCAUUAUUAGCACUGCAAUAUCUUUGUUACUUCAACCAAAUAGUCCAGUCGUGUCUUAUUGAUUUGGACGGGUUCUUACUAAUCUUUAAGCCAACUUCAAAUUUUAGCCUGCUCGGUCAAUCUGGAUUAUUUAGUGUCAAUUUUGAUGCAUGUCUUUAAUAAAAUAAGAAACUGAUUUUGGGUGCUAAAAUAAACACUAAACACUACUUGUUCAUGGCGACUAUGUGUAGAAAGACGAUCAUGGUGGAGAUCCCGACGGUCGACGUGAAGCCGGGAUGGAAUAAGGGCACGAAGAUCACCUUCCUAGAAGGAACAAUCUGAUUUUUUCGUCUUAUUUGCAGCGUAAACUAUGUAUAGUAAUCAUUAGACCAUCUUUGAAGAUCUGACGAACAGAAGCAG